rnacentral:rRNA from 1 species
CUACGGGAGGCUCCAGUGAGGAAUAUUGCACAAUGGGGGGAACCCUGAUGCAGCAACGCCGCGUGGAGGAUGACGCAUUUCGGUGUGUAAACUCCUUUUAUAUGUCAAGAAAAUGACGGUAGCAUAUGAAUAAGCACCGGCUAACUCCGUGCGCAGCAGCCGCGGUAAUACGGAGGGUGCAAGCGUUACUCGGAAUCACUGGGCGUAAAGGACGCGUAGGCGGGCUUGUAAGUCAGGUGUGAAAUCCUACAGCUUAACUGUAGAACUGCACUUGAAACUACGAGCCUAGAGUAUGGGAGGGGGAGAUGGAAUUAGUGGUGUAGGGGUAAAAUCCGUAGAUAUCACUAGGAAUACCUAAAGCGAAGGCGAUCUCCUGGAACAUAACUGACGCUAAGGCGUGAAAGCGUGGGGAGCAAACAGGAUUAGAUACCAUCGUAGUC